UAAUGCUUGGGAAUCUAGCUUAUGGAGGGGGAUAACUACGGGAAACUGUAGCUAAUACCGCGUAGAAUCGAGAGAUGAAAGUGUAGGACCUUCGGGCCACAUGCCAUAGGAUGAGCCCAAGUGGGAUUAGGUAGUUGGUGAGGUAAAGGCUCACCAAGCCGACGAUCUCUAGCUGGUCUGAGAGGAUGACCAGCCACACUGGGACUGAGACACGGCCCAG
rnacentral:rRNA from 1 species